rnacentral:rRNA from 1 species
AAUAAGCUAAAUAAGAGCGUAUGGGGAAUGCCUAGGCUCUCAGAGGCGAUGGAGGACGUGAUAAGCUGCGAAAAGUUGCGGGGAUUGGCACAUACAAAUUGAUCCGCAAAUAUCCGAAUGGGGCAACCCACUAUAUUGAAGAUAUAGUAUUCUGAACUUGUUUCAGRAGGCAAACCCAGGGAACUGAAACAUCUAAGUACCUGG